rnacentral:lncRNA from 1 species
AUGGCGCUGCUCCGCGGCGCCAGCCCCGCCCCCAGGGCCGGCCCCGGCCCCGCGAUUGGCUCCGCUCGUUCGUGUCCGCCAAUGGCAGCCUGCGCUGCCCGUGACGUCACCGCGGCCCGGCGGCGCACGGAAGUGAACGUGCCCGCGGGAGCGCUGCGGGAGAGAAUUGCUGGGGAUCCCAGCAGACCCUGCCGGACCCCCUGGGACCACUCUGCAGGAAUGAAGAAGAAGAAGGAAUAUGCAUGUGCCCUGGAAUCCAGGUUGACGAUAGACCACCAGCUCUACCGCAGAGUUGAAACUCUGGAAAAAGAUUUCCAAAAAGGUCUGGACAACAUAAACCAUGAGCUUAAGUAUGUCAGAGCAGAGCUGCAGAACAACCAAGGAAAGAACGAGGAGGAUAUUCCAUUGAUCCCAGAAACAUUGUUGAAGAAGAACAAGCAAGAGUUAUCAGAAAAAAUCAAGACUGUGAAAGAUGAUGUAGAGCAAAGUAAGGAGGACAUAAAUCAUAAGCUUCAGAAACUCAGAGAUGAGCUGGAGGAGGAGAACCAAGGAAUGAAGAAGGAGAAAGAGCGUGCAUGGGCCCUGGAAUCCAGGUUGAAGAGGAAAAUGCGGCAGUUUUCCAGAAGAACCGAAACUCUGCAAGAAGAUGUAGAGGAAUGGCCAGAGACCAUAAUGCUUGAGCUUCAGGUUCGCGGAGGAGUGCUGAAGAACAUGAAAGGAAUGAAGAAGGAGGAUAUUGCAUCGGCCCUGGAAACAUUGUUGAAGAAGAAUAAGCAAGAGUUCUCCCAAAAAAUUGAGACUCUGAAAGAAGAUGUAGAGGAUUGUAUGGAGGCCAUAAAUCAUGACCUUCACAUUCUCAGAGAUGAUCUGGAGGAGAAGAAACAAGGAAAGAUGGAGGGGGAGUGAAUAAGCCCUUGCGGGAACAGAGGACUUCUGGACAGCAAUUCCAUAUGACUAUGCAGAAGCCGAUUUAUUGUUUGCUUUUAAUUGUAUUUAUACAUUCUAAAACUACUUUUCACAUGAUCACACCUAUUUUGAUUGGUGCCUCUAUCUUUUCCACAUGCUGUGCACAAGUGUUACAGGUAAAAUGAUUGGUUGAAAUCCAGAGCAUCAAUGCCCAGCUUUAUCUUGGCUCUUCUAUUUUUUGUAUUCUGUUUUUCAGCUUCUUCUCUUCCAGUUUAGCACAAUUUAUGUUUCAGUAGCCUUGAAGAGUUACAGAAAGUUUGAUUGACUGCAGAAAAGCACCAAAAAAUGGCUCCCUCCAGUGUACCUGUUAUAAACAAUAGUCUAAAGUAAAACUGUCGAAAAACAGCUAAAUAUAGUUUGGCUGGUGCACUUGAUACAGAUUAUGGCCUAGAUGGUUCAGAUACAUUGCUACAAGCCCUGAAAUGCAGCAUGGAAAUGAUAGUCCUGGAGCUUUUUCCCUGAAUUCAAACUAUGGUAGUUUGGAAGGGGCUGACAGCUGUUCUGUGAACCAGAGUUAACUGAUAAGAUUUACUUCUGAAAGCAAUUUUACCAAGGCCAUUGGCAUGGAGAUGGAGAAGAGAAGAAGAAGAAGAUGUGAAAGUUAUUUGAAAACAGUGGUGGAGACUCCUUUGUACCAAUGAGGAUUGUGUUGAUCAAUUGUAGCCAAUGAAUAAAGUGUAAACUUUGUGUAGUGCGUAAAACACAGCAUGCUGUUGUAAUAAACAGAAAGUAUCCUUCUGAAGUGUGUCACGUCCCUUUGUGUGUCCUAUCUGUCUCAACAGCAACAUGGUACAAGAGUUACAGGAGAGACAGUGAUGCCUAGAGAGGCUGAUCAGGAACAGAGGCUAGACAGUGUUAAAGGCAUAAAGUGGGUAUUUAUUGAAAGACAUUUAAAGGAAACACCUUGGGCAGUACAAGAGCUUGGCCGUGGCUCAGUUGCAU